rnacentral:misc_RNA from 1 species
GAACGCACAUUGCGCCCGGUGGUAUUCCGCCGGGCAUGCCUGUUCGAGCGUCUCUAUCAACCUACACGCCUGUCGUGGAAUUGGGUCUGCGGUCCGCUGCAGUCCUAAAGUACAAGAGCGAUUCCAGUUUGGUUCUAAGCGUAGUACAUACCCCGCUACAGGACCCUUCUGGUGCUUCGGCCAUAAAUGGUGCAAGCCCAUUAACAAGGUUGACCUCGGAUCAAGUAGGGAUACCCGCUGAACUUAAG